AUUUAUAAUAAUAAUAAAUAUUGUUAUUUUUAUUUAAUAACUAAGUGGAAUAAUGAAAGAGGAAACUCAAGUAUAAUAUUUCAAAGUUUUUAAUUUUAGUUGAACAAUUUUAAUCAUGCAUUUAAUGACAAGACAUAGUAUGAAGGUAGGUUGAAAAGUAAUAAAAAUGUGAAGGAAUGUUUUUCUACAUGAUUUAAAAGGAAUGUCUUGAAUUACAACUUUUUUUGGUAUUGCAAAAGUAUGAAAAGAAAACACUUGACAAAUGAAAGAGAAAGGUCUACUGUGUUACACAAGAGAACAGAGUAGAAAGAGAAAAAAGUUAACGUUGUUUGUGCGUGUCUAACGGAAGAGACGACGUUAACACAAAAUUUAUUAAGUGAGAAUCAAUUUGACACAUUUUUAAAAGGAAUGACUUAAUUGACAAAAUUUCACAAAACUAAGGACAAAAUAAGCUAGGGUGUUACUCCCUCCACCCCCACCGAAUACUUCCUGCACCUCCCUAAAAUUUAAAUUUUUUUUGUAAUGUCAAAAGUACCCUUUUUACCUUAUUUAUUUACUUUUUCUUUCUCUUUCUAAAACCUAAUUCCUUACCCAUUUUCACUUUUUCUCCACCCCCCAAAUUCCACAUCCGUCUUCUUCCCACCUUCCCACACCCUCAGAUCCGUUUGCUUCCAACCCACAUCCGUUUCUUCGAAUCCCCUAAGUCCCACUUUCUCUCGUUCUCUUGUUGGUGGUGCGGUGGUUGUUCGUGGUGCGGCGUUGCGACAUUGUGUGCGGUGGUCCAUCAGCGUUGCGGAGGUGCGACAGUGUGCGGUGGUCAUUUGGUGCUUCCUUCUUGUGUAGGUCUACGAGAGCCGCUUUCCAUCCUGAUGGUCUAAUCCUUGGAACUAGCACCACCGAAUCUCUUGUUAAGAUUUGGGAUGUAAAAAGUCAGGCAAAUGUUGCUAGGUUCGAUGGACAUGCUCGUCAAGUAACUGCCAUUUCUUUUUUUGAGAAUGGAUACUUCUUGCGAGUGCUGCUCAUGAUGGUGUUAAGCUUUGGGAUCUACGAAAAUUGAAGAACUUUAGGAAUUUUGCUCUAUAUGAUUCGGACACACCAACAAUGGUAUUCAUCUUCAGUUGUCGAUGGUCUUAUGUAACCUUUUAUGUACUAGUAAAGUUAUACCCGUUUUAAAAUGUCUUGAUGUAAUUAUGUAUUUUGUAGUGGAGUUCGACCAUACUGGAUCUCUGUUGCUGGCUUAAAUAUUUCUUUUAAAACUUGACUCAAAUUAUUGAUUGAGUACAUAUUUGAUGACACGUCUCCAAUGGAACAAUAUAUCAUAAAGAAUAUUUGGGAGG